rnacentral:rRNA from 1 species
AACCUCCGCAAUGUGAGAAAUCGCGACGGGGGGAUCCCAAGUGCCAUUCUUAACGGGAUGGCUUUUCAUUAGUGUAAAGAGCUUUUGGAAUAAGAGCUGGGCAAGACCGGUGCCAGCCGCCGCGGUAACACCGGCAGCUCUAGUGGUAGCAAUUUUUAUUGGGCCUAAAGCGUCCGUAGCCGGUUUAAUAAGUCUCUGGUGAAAUCCUGUAGCUUAACUGUGGGAAUUGCUGGAGAUACUAUUAGACUUGAGACCGGGAGAGGUUAGAGGUACUCCCAGGGUAGAGGUGAAAUUCUGUAAUCCUGGGAGGACCGCCUGUUGCGAAGGCGUCUAACUGGAACGGUUCUGACGGUGAGGGACGAAAGUUAGGGGCGCGAAACCGGAUUAGAUACCCGGGUAGUCCUAACCGUAAACGAUGCGGACUUGGUGUUGGGGUGGCUUUGAGCUGCUCCAGUGCCGAAGGGAAGCUGUUAAGUCCGCCGCCUGGGAAGUACGGUCGCAAGACUGAACUUAAAGGAAUU